rnacentral:rRNA from 1 species
AUUGAACGCUGGCGGCAGGCCUAACACAUGCAAGUCGAACGAGUGGCGGACGGGUGAGUAAUGUCUGGGCAACUGCCCGAUGGCGGGGGAUAACUACUGGAAACGGUAGCUAAUACCGCAUACUAUCAGAUCUUCCCAGAUGGGAUUAGCUAGUUGGUGGGGUAACGGCUCACCAAGGCGCCGAUCCCUAGCUGGUCUGAGAGGAGGACCAGCCACACUGGAACUGGGCCACGGCCCAGACUCCUACGGGAGGCAGAAGUGGGGAAUAUUGCACAAUGGGGGCAAGCCUGAUGCAGCCAGCCCGCGUGUAUGAAGAAGGCCUUCGGGUUGUAAAGUACUUUCAGCGGGGAGGCGUUACCCGCAGAAGAAGCACCGGCUAACUACGUGCCAGCCGCCGCGGUAAUUC